AAGAAAAAACCUAGACCUAGACAUUUAAGGAUUAGCCGUUUUCUAUUAGGAUAGGGACCCUAUCUUCUUCUUCAGGAGAUAUACAAGAAAAACUCUAGGAGAAGGAGAUAAAGAAAAGCUUCAGUAGCCAUAAACAAGGAAGCAGCCAUGACAAAAACCCUAGUCUCCAUAACAACCUUCAGCCGUCACUGACCAGUCGACCACCAGCCGCAUCCUCACCACCAAAACUCCAUCGCCGAACCUCCGUUCACCACGCAUCUGCCAUCUCCGGCGAAGCUUCACCUCACACACACCUGCCCGUCCUUCUCCAGUUCCAGCCUUGACCCUCACCCAUCUCCCUCUCGCCGGAAACCAUACACGCACACACAACACCCUACGCAGCCUUCAUCACCCAAACCUGAACCUGCAAAACCAAGUAACGAGAUCAGUAACCUUCAGCAUCCUACUUCUCCAAUCAACACCCUAAGUUCCAUUAGCGACCAAACCAUCUCCAACCGUGCCAGGCCUAGAUGCCAUCAGAUUUGCCGGAAAAAGUCGUUUCACUUGUAUAUACUUGCAAAUCGUGAUAGCACUGAGUGAUGGCCAAAGACCUACUGUUCUAAUAUCACUUGACUCUUCUUUUGCUAUUACUACUGUUUGCUGUUGUGGUUGUGAGGAUUGUUCUUUGAUUUUCAUUCCAAAAUGAAUGUCAUUUGAGUUUGUGUAUGGAUUCGAAAUUUCCGAUGUCGAUUCGAGGUCCGUUGUUGAAUUUUGUUCGCGGUUCCGUCGAGCUCUUGUCCAAGCCGUUUCAGGGUCUAAAGAUGUAAUCAGAUGCAAGGAAACUAUUUAAGGAGUUGAAUCCUUGAGGUUUGUCAUGUCUGCAAAAUCAUUGACAGUAAGGUUGUAAGAAAGGUUGAGGGAAUUAAAGAAGUCGAUAAAUUGAUCAUUGGAAUGACAAGUCCCAAAUCUUCAACACUUGCAUUUGUGAGCCAGCAUAAGAUGGAAAAAGGCGUAAAGUUCAAGUAAGCAUUUCUCAUUGGUAAAGUUGAGUUUUUCUCUGAAAUAUCUGUUCAAAUGUCAAAAUAUUUUUUGCACUAAAACAUUGUUCAAGUAAUGGUAGAUUCUUCAUCA